rnacentral:rRNA from 1 species
UACAGAGGGUGCGAGCGUUAAUCGGAAUUACUGGGCGUAAAGCGCGCGUAGGCGGCUUUGCAAGUCGAGUGUGAAAUCCCCAGGCUUAACCUGGGAACUGCAUUCGAGACUGCAUAGCUAGAGUAUCGGAGAGGGAAGUGGAAUUUCAGGUGUAGCGGUGAAAUGCGUAGAUAUCUGAAGGAACAUCAGUGGCGAAAGCGACUUCCUGGACGAAUACUGACGCUCAUGUGCGAAAGCGUGGGGAGCAAACAGG